rnacentral:rRNA from 1 species
CCUACGGGUGGCAGCAGUGGGGAAUAUUGCACAAUGGGGGAAACCCUGAUGCAGCGACGCCGCGUGAGUGAAGAAGGAAGUCGUUAGGUAAAGCUCUAGCAGCAGGGAAGAAAAUGACGGUACCUGAGUAAGAAGCCCCGGCUAACUACGUGCCAGCAGCCGCGGUAAUACGUAGGGGGCAAGCGUUAUCCGGAUUUACUGGGUGUAAAGGGAGCGUAGACGGCAGUGCAAGUCUGGAGUGAAAGGCGGGGGCUCAACCCCCGGACUGCUCUGGAAACUGUACGGCUGGAGUGCAGGAGAGGUCAGUGGAAUUCCUGGUGUAGCGGUGAAAUGCGUAGCUAUUAGGCGGAACACCAGUGGCGAAGGCGGCUUACUGGACUGUAACUGCCGUUGAGGCUCGAAAGCGUUGGUAGCAAACAGGAUUAGAUACCCUUGUAGUC